rnacentral:lncRNA from 1 species
GAUUGUAAUGAUAAGUAUAAGCUUAUCAUUAAAAAAAGCUGGAAACUACAGCAACACGUAAAGAGGAAACGGUGCUGCAGAGUCUGCUCCCAGAGGCUACCACCGCUGCCACUGCCACCACCACAGCAGGGGUGGCCCCCUUUCUUCAUGCUCAGACUCAGACACGGCCCCGGUUUCUCCCCUGGCCGACGGCUGUGCUCUGGCUCCCGCCUCCCUGCCUCCGAGGGAGGGUUCCCUGGGUAUUUUUGUGAAUUGUGAGCUCUCUGCUCUGCUCUCGGUGGACCCCGAGCCCUCCCGGAGCAGCGCUGGCUGGGCGGGCCCUGGCGGGAUCCAGCAGGCUUCUUGUUCGGGACUCGCCAGCCCCGGGGUUUGCUCAAGGGAGGAAGCCCAUCCAAGACAAACUUUGUGGAGGAGAGCGGGCAAGACCCUACAUCCCAGACUGACCCCGCGCCAAAUCCAGAUCACUGGCAACUUUCUCUGAGCCCCCGUGGGGAAUUCAGGCAGAACAGCCGUGACAGGCAACGGUGGCUGCCUCAGGAGACCCGGCGAACCGCCUCACACCCCUUGGCUCGCACGUCCCCAGUUUCUCUCCCAUCGGUCCCGUCGGUCCAGGGGCCAGGCUGGCCCUCAGGCAGCACCUGCCCUGCAGUGGCAGAGCCUUGCGUGUUUCAUCUGGCCUUGCUUAUCUGGACAUGGGACAGAGUUAAGGGCCGGGGCUGGAGGAGCGGACCAUGGGAAAAUCUAGCCCAGGCCCCAGCCGUAUGCAGGACGCCUCUUGCCUCGAGAAACACCUCGGUGCACCUGUCAGGAGACCAGGCCCUUGUUGAGGAGGUGAGAGAGGCAGGGACAUGCCCUGUGCUCUUUUGUCCCAGAGCCUCAGACUGCCACAGUGUGACCUGCCCAUCCUGUGGGUGGCAGACAGAAGAUGCACCCAGACACGCCAGGCUCCACUCCAGGCCCCGGGAACAGUGAUGGGGCUGUCGGGUGGGCUCUGUCUCUGCCUCGAAGCCCAGCAGUGCUGCCCACACCAUGGCAGCCAUGAGCAGUCCCUGCCCCCACCGGCUGGCAGCGGGCUGGCAUUCUGGGAAGCGGCUUUGGUUUCUAACCCUGGCAGUCCUGCGAGUGGAGGGCAGCCCUGCCUAAUGCUUCUCUCAAACCCAACCCGCGCCUUUCCAGGGGACGUUCCCUCUCUUCCCUUCCGAAGGUCAAGUCAGGAUCCCUACAGGGAAGGAAGGUGGCUUCCCUAGUUCCCUCUCCCUCACUGCCAUCAGCCCCAUUGUGCCUGACAGCCCUGCCCAUGCCCAGCCUCCAGGGAUGAGGACACACCGGUGCCCACCCCACCCGGGCACUUGUCCCGGACAGUGGCACACAUCCCGUGGGGUCUCUCUCCUCCCCGUCGAGACUCUCGCCCCGUCCCCCUCCCCCACCCUCACCACGGAGUCCAUGUACCAAGUCCUCCUGCCCCCUCACCCACUCUCCCCAUAGGAGUAACUGCCGUGGCACAGACAAUGGCGCUGUAUUGAUCAGUACAAUUCCUGGGCACCUCCGGCCCGUCUCCCCGGGAGCUGGGACAAUGCAGCUUUGAUACACAGAGCAGAUUCUCAGCAGGUCCUUGGGCCGGGGGGAGCCCUCACACCCCCAUUCUCCUCCCCCGCGCCCCCCGCCACACAGCUAACUCUUGCUGCUCCUUUGCACAGUGGCAACUUUCUGGGUCACUUUUGCUGGUGUCUGUCUCUCUGGCUGGCUGUGCCUGCCCCUCCCUGGCACAGACCACUCAGCCCCUCUCCCCACUUCCAGCCCUGUCUCCCAGUCUGCCUGGCACCAGAGAGGGGGCUCGACCUUCUGGAAGGUGACCGACCUGUUCUGGGGAGGAGGGGGCCGCAGGUCCCUGUGCCGCGGCCAUCCCAGGGUGAGCACUUGGAGCCGAGCGCCGCGUGUCUCCUCCGCUCAUUCACACCUCUGCCAGCUCCGGGCGACACUGACGCAUCCCCUGCCUCUUCCACUGCCGGCUGGGCAGCAUCAAUUACUUUCACCUCAUCUCCUCCCGAAGCUCUGCCUCCCCCUCCGUGGCCCUCCCUUUCCGGCCAGCCCUGUGCGGGUGCUCCACAGCUAGAGUGGGGCGUGGGGUUUGUUGUGCUUCUCCCUUGUUCCCAGCAAGUUAUUGGAACAAAAAACACAUACACACACUCACUAACGCAGGGUGAGGCAGAGCAGGCACAGGGGAGAGAGAGAGAGAGAGAACGUGCACGGCUCGCUCCCAUCCUAGCUCGGGGUCUGGCGUCCAGAUACUUCGGAGCACAGAGACCUGGCACUUGGUGGGCUCCCGGUAGGGUGGUUGGGUGCCACUGGGCACUAGACAGUGAGGCAGCAGGAGGAAGGAGGCACGGCCCGCCAGCCACCACCAGAGCAUCUCGCAUUUCUUGGCGUGCUGUGGGCUGGGGGGUGACGGGCCCUAGAGCAGUCCCCCGGGGAGCUGGGGACCCCACCCAGCCAAGAGGAUGGCGUGACCUCACGAGAGAAGGGAAUGCGGUAGGACCUUGGCAAACAUCCGUCAGAGGCAAGCACGCUGAGUUCUGAUGUAAAGGAAGCUUUCCUGGGGUUUGGUCCGUGUGGUCACCCCACUGGGAGCAGGGCAGCAUGAGAAUAUUUUUUUCUCUUUUUAGGGCCGCAUCCACAGCAUAUGGAAGGUCCCAGGCUAGGGGUCUAAUCAGAGCUGCAGCUGCCGGCCUACACCACAGCCACAGCAACGCAGGAUCCAAGCCGCAUCCACAACCUACACCACAGCUCACAGCCAACACUGGAUCCUUACCCCAACGAGCGGGGCCAGGGAUGGAACCUGCGUCCUCGCAGACACUAUGUCGGGUUCUUAACCUGCUGAGCUACAAAGGGAACCCCUGAUCAUUUUUUUUUUUUUAAGGGGAAAAGGCUUUAGACUCAGACAGGCUUGGGUUCAAACCCCAGCUCUGGUAGUUCUCACUAUAUGAAUCUCCUUAGGCAAGUCACUUUAACGUAUCUGGUCUUAGUUUCUUCCUCUCUAAAAUGGGAAUAACAUCCACCCAGCAUUGAAGCUACUGAGCCUUGUUAAUAACGGCCAUAGAUAGUAACGGGAGGUGCCCACUGAAACAGACACGGUGCUAAACUCUUCGUGUACAUAUAUCUACCUCAAUUCAUCGACUCUUCCUAACAGCUCCUUGAGGGAGAUGUGUUAUUAUGUCCAUGUGGGGGGAGAGGGUGGGGACUGACCUUGGCUCAGGCAAGUCUGCUAGGAAAGGCCUCAGACCCCAAUGACUGAGCCGCUCCCUGGGCCAGACUCACGCAGGUCUCCAGACACGCUCCCCUGACUUCCUGUGAGAGCCCAGACUGAGGGCCAAGGCCCUGGCUGGCCCACUGGCUCCAGGAAGGCCCAGUCACCCAUGAUGCCCAAAUGCUCGCUUCCACCCAGGGUGGGCUCCGGGCUUUGGCUGCCCUGGCCUGGGCUGGGUGCCCGGAACAGGCAGCCCUGGCUGGACAGCUUUCUCUGGCUCUGGCCAGGGGGACAGGAGGCGGCAGCAGCCCAGCUGGGUCCUGGCCGUAAUGAGGCCUCAUUAGUGGGAUCCAGCUGCUCCAGCCCCACUCAGGGAGGCCGGCUCCCCCAAGCCCGCCUCUGACUUUUCUUAAUAAGAGUGGGCAUUCUUCCAGAGGGCCAGGGAGCCUAGGGGGUUGGUUGUGCCCUGUGACUCCGAGGGAAGGUCCUGCUGAGCCCGGACUGAAAAGGGCUGGGGGUGGCAGGGCUGUAGGGAAGCUGUGUGAGGGGAGAAGAAGGCUCAGGCCCGGGUAGAUGGGCCCCGGGGAGGCUGAGGAGCGGAAUGAGACCAAGGGGAGUGGAGAGCAGGUCCUGGGUCCAGAGAGGAAGCCUGAGGAGGGUUGGGCCUCUUCCCCUGGAUCUAAAUAUUGUCCAUUUUGCUGGGGAGGGGGGUAGCUGUUGAGCUAGGAUCAUCUCGGAUCAUGGAGCUGAUUAACUAAGUAAGUCAUUACUCAGGCUGUCCUGGCUAGGAGAGCACCUCCUUUGCACUAGGCCUCGUAUAAGGAGUGGGCCCACUGUGUGCCAGUGCCUGAGCUGAAGAGGACCUACUGUGUGUCAAACCCAUCCUAGCAAAGCACCUAAUAUAUGCCAGGUCCAGUGCUGGGAGAGCUGCCAGUGUGUGCCAGGCUUGGUGUUAAGAGAGCACCCUGGGGGUUCUAGGUCUCGAACUAGAUGGGUGCUCCAUGUAUACCAUGUUCUGUGCCAGCCAAGGACCCAAUAUAUGCCCAGACCCGAGCGGGGUGAUCACCCACUGUAGACCUGGCACUGUGUAGGUGAAUGCCCAAUGUAUGCCACGUCUGUACUAGUUGAGCACUUGUCCAAUGCCAGGACUCGUGCUAAGUGAGUUCCCGGAACGUGACAGGCCCUCUACCAAGGGAGGGCCCAGCAUGUGCCAAGGCCUGUGCUAGAUGAGCUUCCAAUGUGUCAAGCCCAUACUAGUUGAGCACCUGCCACAUGCCAGGACCUGGGCUAGGUGAGCACCCACUGUGCUCCAGGCCCUGUGAUGGCUGCUGCAAACAAGAAGCAGCCAAGCCCUCUUGUCAAAGCAUUAUAGAACAGGUCAGGGUGGGGCAGUCCCAGGUGGCCCGUGUGUUUUCAAAGCCUCCUAGCAUGAUUUAGAUGCCCUGGCACUCAGGCCUCUAGCCCGGGUGACUCUGCUCUUAUUCAUCACGAGGCUUCCCAGUGGCAGAAGCAACUAAGUCCUCAAAGAUGGGGGGGGCGAGGCCAGUGAGGCUCACCGAGGCCUUUCUGCCCAAGAUGCCAUGCGAGUGGGGAACGGGCACACAGGAGGGACUGAGUCAGCCAGCUUGUGGACUUUGUGCGAGGCCAUGGGGUUGAAGCUGACCCCGUGGGGCUCUCCCGUCCUAGGCUCCUCUCCUCCAGCUCUGUCUCUGCUGAGCCCCAGGCAGCCCAGCCCGACAUGUGUAUAGUGGCACUAGGUCUCCAUGAAAGAGCCCCCCCGCGUGCCCCACCUCCGGUGCCCCCAAGCAUCCCAGCUGCUCCCAAGCUUGGAGGCACCCUGGCCAGCUGGGUUCCUGCACGACCCUGUCCUAGGAGCUGCUGAGGCGUGAGGGAGGCAGCUGAGCUGGUCUGGCAGAGACCAUCUGGGCUGGGAGUGCGGGAGAGACACGUGCGGCAGGCAUGUGGGCCUGGGCACGUGCUGGGAAGUGGACUGUCCUCCAUGGGACACCUGCCACACGAAGAGCCCAGCAGAGGCUCCAAUGAUGACACGGGGUGGACAAUGAAGACCCCUGGGGACCCAUGCCCUCACCCCUAAACCUGAGGCCAAGGGGGACGGAAGUGAGGAACCCAUGGCAGGGGCCAGCUGCCUAUUCCCAGUAUCCCAGGGCACAACAGCAACAGAAGCCACAGACCUGGGAUGGUCCAAAUGCCAGUGGCUUACACACAUGGCCCUCAGUACCCUCCGCGCUGCCCCACCACGGCGUCGGGAGACAGCGCAUCCUCAGUCAUUUGCCUUGAGGGCACCACAAGCACCUGAUAAAGGCCGGGGGCAGCUGCGUGGGGGCAUAUGCUAGCGACUAGCCCUGAAUGGAGGCGGCUUUGGUUCCAGUCUAGGACCCGAGAACAGCGUAGCCCAAGGUCAUUGGCAGAACUGAGAAAGAGGCUGGAACAGAAUCUCGAGCAACCACUGGGGGUGCCCAGGGGACAUGCUGUAAGCCUCGGACGCAGCAGUGGCGGGCAGAAGUCAAAGGUCAGAGGGCACAGAGGAAGCCAAGCCCCAGCUAUCUUUAGGCACAUCCUGGUGCUGGGAACAGGCGUCCCAAGGCAGCAUUCCCUUCCAGAGGCAGGCUGGCCUGCUGGCCGGCAGAGCCCCGGGUCCGGGAAGCUCAGCUCCAGCAGGGAUUCUGGGACAUUGUGAUUCAUGCUCCCUGUGCUGCCACGUGGGGCCCACAUCUCUUCUGUCCGCCCGCCCCAGUCCUUGCAGGGUCACUCCAGAGAAAGUAGAGCAGCCAGCAAGUACUCAGAGGACUUCUUAAGUUCCGUGGGACUCAGAGAAUCUCCAUGCAGGAGAGGGGCAAGGCCAUAGCCCACUUCCGGCAACGGGCCCUUGGCCAUCCCAACACUUCCGGGAAGGGCGAGGCCAUUUCCGACGCCCAUCACAGCCUCUCCCCCUAGCAAGCAUUCAGCUCCAGGAGACCCCUCUCUCUGCCCACACCUGAGCACUCAGAGUUCAGGGUGGCUCAGGAAUACUUUGAGAAGCUUGGUUCACCCAGACUUGUUCUCAUCAGGAGGGGGCCAGACCAGAGCAGGCCUGAGGGGCUGGGUGCUAGAAGGUCAGACCAGGGCAGGAGAGAGGGUCCUGGAGCACCGCGGCCAGCUUCCUCCCCCAGACCAUGCCCUAGGACCAAAGACUCUUGCAUCUCAGAAGGCCUCGGUGAGAGACAGGGAUUGUUUGGGGAGGGCUUGGCCAAUCCAUCUUUCACCAAGUGAGAACAGCAAUAGAAGAAUGGAAGAGGGGAAGGGAGGAGCCGAGGGAGGGGCCAGGCCCAGUCACUGCCUCCUCCUCUGACAGCUGCCCAGGCUCACUUCUUCCCAAGGCAAGAUCCCCAGAGAAGAAAUGCAGUCCCUGCCCUGAGGGUGGCUUCCUGGCUCCCGAUUCCAGUGCUGGCCUGUCUGGUCUAUGGGUGAGCCAUCCUCCCCUCACCCAGGCGCCUCUCCUGUCCUGGAGCCCCCACUGGGUCAACUUCAACCCCACGGCCUCACCCCCAGUCCUCCCUCGAGCCCUCACCCAGGCCCUGCCCUUGCCAGCCGCUUCUCACCACCCCUCCUGGGCUCUGAGGUAGCUGGCAAGGAAGGGCUGUUGCUUGGGGAAGGGCGAGGAGUUUUUCUUUUCUUCUUUUUUUUUUGUCUUUUUAUG